UACGUAGGGGGCAAGCGUUGUCCGGAAUUAUUGGGCGUAAAGAGCGCGUAGGCGGUCCGAUAAGUCGGCUGUGAAAGUCAGGGGCUCAACCCUUGGAAGCCGGCCGAUACUGUCGGACUAGAGUCCGGAAGAGGCGAGUGGAAUUCCCGGUGUAGCGGUGAAAUGCGCAGAUAUCGGGAGGAACACCAAUGGCGAAGGCAGCUCGCUGGGACGGUACUGACGCUGAGGAGCGAAAGCGUGGGGAGCGAACAGG
rnacentral:rRNA from 1 species